AUUGAACGCUGGCGGCAGGCCUAACACAUGCAAGUCGAGCGGAUGAAGGGAGCUUGCUCCUGGAUUCAGCGGCGGACGGGUGAGUAAUGCCUAGGAAUCUGCCUGGUAGUGGGGGAUAACGUCCGGAAACGGGCGCUAAUACCGCAUACGUCCUGAGGGAGAAAGUGGGGGAUCUUCGGACCUCACGCUAUCCGAUGAGCCUAGGUCGGAUUAGCUAGUUGGUGGGGUAAAGGCCUACCAAGGCGACGAUCCGUAACUGGUCUGAGAGGAUGAUCAGUCACACUGGAACUGAGACACGGUCCAGACUCCUACGGGAGGCAGCAGUGGGGAAUAUUGGACAAUGGGCGAAAGCCUGAUCCAGCCAUGCCGCGUGUGUGAAGAAGGUCUUCGGAUUGUAAAGCACUUUAAGUUGGGAGGAAGGGCAGUAAGUUAAUACCUUGCUGCUUUGACGUUACCAACAGAAUAAGCACCGGCUAACUUCGUG
rnacentral:rRNA from 1 species